UACGGAAGGCAGCAGUGGGAAUAUUGCACAAUGGGCGCAAGCCUGAUGCAGCCAUGCCGCGUGUAUGAAGAAGGCCUUCGGGUUGUAAAGUACUUUCAGUCGUGAGGAAGGUGUUAAGGUUAAUAACCUUAGCAAUUGACGUUAGCGACAGAAGAAGCACCGGCUAACUCCGUGCCAGCAGCCGCGGUAAUACGGAGGGUGCGAGCGUUAAUCGGAAUUACUGGGCGUAAAGGGCACGCAGGCGGUUAAUUAAGUUGGAUGUGAAAUCCCCGGGCUUAACCUGGGAAUGGCAUUCAAGACUGGUUAGCUAGAGUCUUGUAGAGGGGGUAGAAUUCCAUGUGUAGCGGUGAAAUGCGUAGAGAUGUGGAGGAAAUACCGGUGGCGAAAGGCGGCCCCCUGGACAAAAGACUGACGCUCAUGUGCGAAAGCGUGGGGAGCAAACAGGGAUUAGAUACC
rnacentral:rRNA from 1 species